CUGAGUGCGUCUGCGUGCCUGCGCAAGCGCGAGCCUGAUAAAGGCUUUCCACUCUCAGGGGCAGAGCGGCGCCUCCCUCCCCACACCGCGGCGCGAGAGGAAACCCUAGCCGCCGGUGAUGUCGGACCCCUUCUACCCGUACUCCCGCGGCGCCUUGCCGGGCGGCGACGGCGCGCUGCCGCCGCCGCGGUACUCGGACCUUGAGGUCGACCUCAUCGCGGCCCGUUACACCGGCACCCCCCCGCCCUACCCCUCCUCCGCCGACGUCAGCGCCUUCGAUUCGCACGUCGGCGCUUUCGACUCUGGCGUCGGUGCCUUCGACUCCGCACGUCGGCGCUUUCGACUCUGGCGUGGGCGCCUUCGACUCGCACGUUGGCGCUUUCGACUCGCACAUUGGCGCCUUCGACUCGCACAUUGGUGCUUUCGACUCGCACGUUGGUGCUUUCAAUUCGCGCUUCGGUGCGAAGCGAUCCGCGGAAGCUCUCUAUCAUCAAUCUUUUAUGGGAAGUCAUAGUACUGUUGCCCAGAAUGAGGCUUUAUAUUCACCAAAUACUAUGGCUAAACGCCCUAGGCUUGAAAGUAGCCUUCCUAUAUAUCCACAACGACCAGGGGAAAAGGACUGUGCCUUCUAUAUGAGGACCAGAACCUGUAAGUAUGGAGAGGCCUGCAAAUUUGACCAUCCACAAUGGGUUCCAGAGGGUGGGGUUCCAAACUGGAAAGAGGUCCCAAAUGUUGAAGAUUCUUAUCCUGAGCGACCAGGGGAACCUGAUUGUCCUAUGCAAGUUCAACCAUCCAAAGGAAAAGGUGAAUGCACUAGAGGCUGGAACAGACAAAGAAGUAAUCUUUUGUACAAAAUGUUUGCAAACGUAAAACCCCUAUGUGAGGAAAAAAAAUCCAUCGUAUGCCUUGAAAAUAGAAAAAGGAAACUCAUUGUGAUCAAA